rnacentral:rRNA from 1 species
UACGAAGGGGGCUAGCGUUGCUCGGAAUUAUUGGGCGUAAAGGGCGCGUAGGCGGCCUUUCAAGUGACGGGUGAAAUCCCUCGGCUUAACCGAGGAACUGCCUGUCAGACUGGAAGGCUUGAGACCGGGAGAGGUGAGUGGAAUUCCCAGUGUAGCGGUGAAAUGCGUAGAUAUUCGCAAGAACACCAGUGGCGAAGGCGGCUCACUGGCCCGGUACUGACGCUGAGGCACGAAAGCGUGGGGAGCAAACAGG